rnacentral:rRNA from 1 species
GAUGAACGCUGGCGGCGUGCUUAACACAUGCAAGUCGAACGAUGAAGCCCAGCUUGCUGGGUGGAUUAGUGGCGAACGGGUGAGUAACACGUGAGUAACCUGCCCUUAACUCUGGGAUAAGCCUGGGAAACUGGGUCUAAUACCGGAUAGGAGCGCCUACCGCAUGGUGGGUGUUGGAAAGAUUUAUCGGUUUUGGAUGGACUCGCGGCCUAUCAGCUUGUUGGUGAGGUAAUGGCUCACCAAGGCGACGACGGGUAGCCGGCCUGAGAGGGUGACCGGCCACACUGGGACUGAGACACGGCCCAGACUCCUACGGGAGGCAGCUGUGGGGAAUAUUGCACAAUGGGCGAAAGCCUGAUGCAGCGACGCCGCGUGAGGGAUGACGGCCUUCGGGUUGUAAACCUCUUUCAGUAGGGAAGAAGCGAAAGUGACGGUACCUGCAGAAGAAGCACCGGCUAACUACGUG